rnacentral:rRNA from 1 species
UCUGGUGCCGAUGCGCUUAGGGGAGACACCCGUUCCCAUCCCGAACACGAUGGUUAAGACUUAAGCGGCCGAUGGUACUAUGCUGGAAACGGCAUGGGAGAGCAGGUGGGUGCCAGAU